rnacentral:rRNA from 1 species
GGACGAACGCUGGCGGCGUGCUUAACACAUGCAAGUCGAACGGGAGUAUUGAAGAAGCUUGCUUUAGAGAUACUUUAGUGGCGGACGGGUGAGUAACGCGUGAGGAGCUGUCCUAUGCAGGGGGACAACAGCUGGAAACGGCUGCUAAUACCCCAUAAGCCGAGAGGUAAAAGGAUCAAUCCGGCAGAGGAGGUACUCGCGUCCUAUCAGCUAGUAGGUGAGGUAACGGCUCACCUAGGCGAAGACGGGUAGCCGGCCUGAGAGGGCGAACGGCCACACUGGAACUGAGAUACGGUCCAGACUCCUACGGGAGGCAGCAGUAGGGAAUAUUAGUAAUGGGCGAAAGCCUGAACUAGCAACGCCGCGUGUGCGAAGAAGGCCUUCGGGUCGUAAAGCACUUUUUGAGAGGAUGAGGAAGGACGGUACUCUCAGAAUAAGUCUCGGCUAACUACGUGCCAGCAGCCGCGGUAACACGUAGGAGGCAAACGUUAUCCGGAUUUACUGGGCGUAAAGCGCGUGUAGGUGGUUUGGUAAGUAGGGCGUGAAAGCUCCUGGCUCAACUGGGAGAGGACGUUCUAAACUGCCAAGCUUGAGGAUGGUAGAGGGAGGUGGAAUUCCGGGUGUAGCGGUGGAAUGCGCAGAUAUCCGGAGGAACACCAGUGGCGAAGGCGGCCUCCUGGACCACUCCUGACACUCAGACGCGAAAGCUAGGGUAGCAAACGGGAUUAGAGACCCCGGUAGUCCUAGCCCUAAACGAUGUAGACUUGGCGUCGGUGGUUUAAUCGCCAUCGGUGUCGUAGCUAACGCGAUAAGUCUACCGCCUGGGGACUACGGCCGCAAGGUUAAAACUAAAAGGAAUUGACGGGUCCCCGCACAAGCAGCGGAGCGUGUGGUUUAAUUCGAUGCUACACGAAGAACCUUACCUGGGUUUGACAUAGAGGUAGUAGGGAAGCGAAAGCGGACCGACCCUUCGGGGAGCCUCUACAGGUGUUGCAUGGCUGUCGUCAGCUCGUGUCGUGAGAUGUUCGGUUAAGUCCGCUAACGAGCGCAACCCUCGCUGUGUGUUACAAGUGUCACACGGUACUGCCGAUAUUAAGUCGGAGGAAGGUGGGGAUGACGUCAAGUCAGCAUGACCUUUAUAUCCAGGGCUACACACACGCUACAAUGGCCAGUACAAUGGGUUGCCAAGCCGCGAGGCGGAGCCAAUCCUAAAAAGCUGGCCUCAGUUCAGAUUGCAGUCUGCAACUCGACUGCAUGAAGUUGGAGUUGCUAGUAACCGCAGGUCAGCAAUACUGCGGUGAAUACGUUCCCGGGGAU